CCUACGGGAGGCUGCAGUGGGGAAUAUUGCACAAUGGAGGAAACUCUGAUGCAGCGACGCCGCGUGAACGAUGAAGGCUUUCGGGUCGUAAAGUUCUGUCCUAGGGGACGAUAAUGACGGUACCCUAGGAGGAAGCCCCGGCUAACUACGUGCCAGCAGCCGCGGUAAUACGUAGGGGGCAAGCGUUGUCCGGAUUUAUUGGGCGUAAAGGGUUCGCAGGUGGUCCUUUAAGUCAGAUGUGAAAGAUCACAGCUAAACUGUGGUAAGCAUUUGAAACUGAAGGACUUGAGUUAAGGAGAGGAAAGUGGAAUUCCUAGUGUAGCGGUGAAAUGCGUAGAUAUUAGGAGGAAUACCAGUGGCGAAGGCGACUUUCUGGACUUAUACUGACACUGAGGAACGAAAGCGUGGGGAGCAAACAGGAUUAGAUACCCUUGUAGUC
rnacentral:rRNA from 1 species